UACGUAGGGGGCAAGCGUUAUCCGGAUUUACUGGGUGUAAAGGGAGCGUAGACGGCAUAGCAAGUCUGAAGUGAAAGCCCGUGGCUCAACCGCGGAAUUGCUUUGGAAACUGUUAAGCUGGAGUACUGGAGAGGCAAGCGGAAUUCCUAGUGUAGCGGUGAAAUGCGUAGAUAUUAGGAGGAACACCAGUGGCGAAGGCGGCUUGCUGGACAGAGACUGACGUUGAGGCUCGAAAGCGUGGGGAGCAAACAGG
rnacentral:rRNA from 1 species